ACUGAUUCCCCAGAGAUAUUCAUCAGUCCGUUCGAUUGGUUUGCCUCAGCUUACCUUUUAUGGGCUUACAAUUUUAUGACCCCUCAUAACUACUCUCUACUCUUUUACUCUACUCCCAACUCCCAACUCCUCAAGGCAAUGCUCUUCAAUUUUUUUUGUUUAUUUAUUCUUGACUCUGAACAAUCAAGUACUAUAAUCUGGGCUUUUUAACCGGGGUUUUUUGUUUUCUUGAAAACCCCCAACUCGUUUCGUGUCUAGUUAAAAAGGUUUGCUCUGUUUCUCUCCGUUAUUAAGGUUAGGGUUUGAUAUAAGAAGAAAGAGGGCUUUUUCUUUCUUAAUGUGUUUUUGACCCUUUUUGGCUUCGUUUGUUUUCUGGGUUUUCAGCAAGGUGAGGCAUUGUAUUUGGGUGACAAGAAAAAUGAGUUAUCUUGUUCAGUGUUGAGUGACAAAAA
rnacentral:lncRNA from 1 species